rnacentral:rRNA from 1 species
UACGUAGGGGGCAAGCGUUGUCCGGAAUCAUUGGGCGUAAAGAGCGCGUAGGCGGUCCGAUAAGUCGGCUGUGAAAGUCAGGGGCUCAACCCUUGAAAGCCGGCCGAUACUGUCGGACUAGAGUUCGGUAGGGGAGUCUGGAAUUCCUGGUGUAGCGGUGAAAUGCGCAGAUAUUAGGAAGAACACCCGUGGCGAAGGCGGUUCUCUGGGACGGUACUGACGCUGAGACGCGAAAGCGUGGGGAGCGAACAGG